AUUUACAUCUCAUUUGAUCCGCCCCGACUCUCACACCAAUCACACUGGAGAAGGCUUAACAGUAGUAUUUUCACAUGGACGCCCACCUGCGUUAAUCCAUCGCGGAUUAUUAAAAUAAAGAGACGGCGACUGAAAAUAACUUUUAUUUCAAUGGUGGGGGAGGAGAGUUUGGUUUUGCUGGAAACGAUUUCAUUCAUUUAGAGCAAGAGUCAAUGCUCAUAUGUAGGGCGCUGUCACUUGAGGAGUCUGUGCCUUUGCCUUUUAGCGUUAUAUUCUGUGUGUAACAUGGACACGCUGGAAAUCCACAACAGUCCAACGUGCGCCACAGGUCUGUGGGCGGAUUAGCAAGGGGGGUUCUUGUAUGGCACGACCGUGCGUUUUCUUUUGGGGUAAGAAAUGUACAAAAUGGAGGCGGCUCGCAGUCGGCAGGGUGUGGUAUCGGGAGGCAGAGGAUGCGGAAGAGUGCAAAGUCGUGUUUGACAAAACAGCAGAAGAACAACGUGGUGAAGGCGGAGUUUGGAACGAACUCGACGCAUGAUAUUUAAAGGGGCGGAUCUAACGCUGGAGUCGAGCCAUAGUCAGUUACAGGUCGACUUGUGGAAUAAGGUGCUGGAGCAGAUUGAGAGAAGCCAUUAACAGCAAUACAUGGAAGUGUUGAAAGGCGCGGAGGACGAAAGUUAAUGUUUGAAAAUUAAAAUAAAAUGUAUUUAUAGAUUAUA